rnacentral:rRNA from 1 species
UACGUAGGGUGCAAGCGUUAAUCGGAAUUACUGGGCGUAAAGCGCGCGCAGGCGGUCCUUUAAGUCCGAUGUGAAAUCCCCGGGCUCAACCUGGGAACUGCGUUGGAAACUACGGAGCUGGAGUGUGGCAGAGGGAGGUAGAAUUCCACGUGUAGCGGUGAAAUGCGUAGAUAUGUGGAGGAAUACCGAUGGCGAAGGCAGCCUCCUGGGCCAACACUGACGCUCAUGCACGAAAGCGUGGGGAGCAAACAGG